rnacentral:SRP_RNA from 1 species
GCCAGGUGUGGUGGCAUGUACCUGUAAUCCCAGCUACUCAGGAGGCUGAGGCAGGAGAAUUGCUUGAAUCCAGGAGGCUGAGGUUGCAGUGAGCCGAGAUCGCACCACUGCACUCCAGCCUGGGCAACAGAGCAAGACCCUGUCUUUU